GACGAACGCUGGCGGCGUGCUUAACACAUGCAAGUCGAACGGAAAGGCCCUGCUUUUGUGGGGUGCUCGAGUGGCGAACGGGUGAGUAACACGUGAGUAACCUGCCCUUGACUUUGGGAUAACUUCAGGAAACUGGGGCUAAUACCGGAUAGGAGCUCCUGCUGCAUGGUGGGGGUUGGAAAGUUUCGGCGGUUGGGGAUGGACUCGCGGCUUAUCAGCUUGUUGGUGGGGUAGUGGCCUACCAAGGCUUUGACGGGUAGCCGGCCUGAGAGGGUGACCGGCCACAUUGGGACUGCGAUACGGCCCAGACUCCUACGGGAGGCAGCAGUGGGGAAUAUUGCACAAUGGGCGGAAGCCUGAUGCAGCAACGCCGCGUGCGGGAUGACGGCCUUCGGGUUGUAAACCGCUUUCGCCUGUGACGAAGCGUGAGUGACGGUAAUGGGUAAAGAAGCACCGGCUAACUACGUG
rnacentral:rRNA from 1 species